rnacentral:rRNA from 1 species
GAUGAACGCUGGCGGCGUGCCUAAUACAUGCAAGUCGAGCGAACAGACGAGGAGCUUGCUCCUCUGACGUUAGCGGCGGACGGGUGAGUAACACGUGGAUAACCUACCUAUAAGACUGGGAUAACUUCGGGAAACCGGAGCUAAUACCGGAUAAUAUAUUGAACCGCAUGGUUCAAUAGUGAAAGACGGUUUUGCUGUCACUUAUAGAUGGAUCCGCGCCGCAUUAGCUAGUUGGUAAGGUAACGGCUUACCAAGGCAACGAUGCGUAGCCGACCUGAGAGGGUGAUCGGCCACACUGGAACUGAGACACGGGCCAGACUCCUACGGGAGGCAGCAGUAGGGAAUCUUCCGCAAUGGGCGAAAGCCUGACGGAGCAACGCCGCGUGAGUGAUGAAGGUCUUCGGAUCGUAAAACUCUGUUAUUAGGGAAGAACAAAUGUGUAAGUAACUAUGCACGUCUUGACGGUACCUAAUCAGAAAGCCACGGCUAACUACGA